AUUGAACGCUGGCGGCAUGCUUUACACAUGCAAGUCGAACGGUAACAGGUUAAGCUGACGAGUGGCGAACGGGUGAGUAAUGCAUCGGAACGUGCCCGGUCGUGGGGGAUAACACUUCGAAAGAAGUGCUAAUACCGCAUACGAUCUGAGGAUGAAAGCGGGGGACCGUAAGGCCUCGCGCGAUCGGAGCGGCCGAUGUCAGAUUAGGUAGUUGGUGGGGUAAAGGCCCACCAAGCCGACGAUCUGUAGCUGGUCUGAGAGGACGACCAGCCGCACUGGGACUGAGACGCGGCCCAGACUCCUACGGGAGGCAGCAGUGGGGAAUUUUGGACAAUGGGCGCAAGCCUGAUCCAGCAAUGCCGCGUGCAGGAAGAAGGCCUUCGGGUUGUAAACUGCUUUUGUACGGAGCGAAAAGGCUCUCUCUAAUACAGGGGGCUGAUGACGGUACCGUAAGAAUAAGCACCGGCUAACUACGUGCCAGCAGCCGCAGUAA
rnacentral:rRNA from 1 species